rnacentral:rRNA from 1 species
ACGGGAGGCAGCAGUGGGGGAUAUUGCACCAUGGGGGAAACCCUGAUGCAGCGACGCCGCGUGGAGGAAGAAGGUUUUCGGAUUGUAAACUCCUGUCGUUAGGGACGAUAAUGACGGUACCUAAACAGAAAGCACCGGCUAACUACGUGCCAGCAGCCGCGGUAAAACGUAGGGUGCAAGCGUUGUCCGGAAUUACUGGGUGUAAAGGGAGCGCAGGCGGGAAGACAAGUUGGAAGUGAAAACCAUGGGCUCAACCCAUGAAUUGCUUUCAAAACUGUUUUUCUUGAGUAGUGCAGAGGUAGAUGGAAUUCCCGGUGUAGCGGUGGAAUGCGUAGAUAUCGGGAGGAACACCAGUGGCGAAGGCGGUCUACUGGGCACCAACUGACGCUGAGGCUCGAAAGCAUGGGUAGCAAACAGGAUUAGAUACCCUGGUAGUCCAUGCCGUAAACGAUGAUUCACUCAGGUGUUGGGGGCAUUGCACCCCUCCAGUGCC